rnacentral:rRNA from 1 species
UGAACCAGCCAAGUAGCGUGCAGGAAGACGGCCCUAUGGGUUGUAAACUGCUUUUAUGCGGGGAUAAAGCGGGCGACGUGUCGCCCUUUGCAGGUACCGCAUGAAUAAGGACCGGCUAAUUCCGUGCCAGCAGCCGCGGUAAUACGGAAGGUCCGGGCGUUAUCCGGAUUUAUUGGGUUUAAAGGGAGCGCAGGCCGGGUAUUAAGCGUGUUGUGAAAUGUAGGCGCUCAACGUCUGCACCGCAGCGCGAACUGGUGCCCUUGAGUACGCACGACGUUGGCGGAAUUCGCCGUGUAGCGGUGAAAUGCUUAGAUAUGGCGAAGAACUCCGAUUGCGAAGGCAGCUGACGGGAGCGCUACUGACGCUCAUGCUCGAAAGCGCGGGUAUCGAACAGGAUUAGAUACCCUGGUAGUCCGCGCGGUAAACGAUGGAUGCCCGCUAUUUGCGCGUUAGCGCAAGUGGCCAAGUGAAAACGUUAAGCAUCCCACCUGGGGAGUACGCCGGCAACGGUGCAACUCAAAGGAAUUGACGGAAU